UACAGAGGGUGCAAGCGUUAAUCGGAAUUACUGGGCGUAAAGGGCGCGUAGGCGGAUUAAUAAGUUAGGUGUGAAAUCCCUGGCUUAACCUGGGAAUGGCAUUUAAUACUGUUAGUCUAGAGUAGAGUAGAGGGAAGUGAAUUUCCGGUGUAGCGGUGAAAUGCGUAGAGAUCGGAAAGAACACCAGUGGCGAAGGCGGCUUCCUGGACUCAUACUGACGCUGAGGCGCGAAAGCGUGGGGAGCGAAUGGG
rnacentral:rRNA from 1 species